rnacentral:lncRNA from 1 species
UAGUUUCUCUAGGUGUGUUCCCAUGGCAGAAACAAACAACAAACAACCCCUCAAGCUUCUGCUUGUGUCACAAUGGCUAGCAUUCUAUCAGCCAAAGCAAGUUCCAUGUCGAGGCCCAAAAUUAAAGGUAGGUGGGUUACAUUCUAUCCACUAAGAUGAAGGGAGGGAGUACUUGCUAGUCAGAGGUCUCAGCUGCCACAGUGAUUAAACCAGGAUUCAAUCAUGAUUUGGUCAUGACUUUCCCUCACAUUCAUCACCAAAUCCUAUAAGUGGGCAGUUGCCAUGGCUAGAGAUAGUCCAUGCUUCCAGCCCUAACUCAAGGCAUGCAGUCAGGGCUGAGCACGCUCUCCUCAGAGCUGAGCCCUUCAACUGGAUUGUUCCUCCCACUGCAGCUGGGGGUCAGACAGCCCUCUAGGCUGCAUUUUUCAAGCCACUGUCUGGAGGGGUUUGGAUCUAGACUGGCUGCAGGCAAUGGUCCAGUUCAUCCUUGCUGUUCUGGGAGCUUCCAGGCCAGCUACUGAGUCCAGAUGAAUGAACUCGGAGUCACCAGACAACAAAACCCGACAAAACAUAACCUUGAAGCCUCAAGAAAGGGAUCGAAGAAGGACACUCAAUGAAACGAUUCCUGUAGCGUGGGCAGAUAAGGAGCACCUCACAUCCCCAGAGAGUACAGCAGCACUCACUUCAGCAGGCCUAAGACAGCAACUGUCUCCAUCUCCCCAGACCCUGCCAGCAUGGGGCCAGCACCUCCACAGGCUGGAAGCGGCUGUUCUCCAAGUGGCGAUGAAGACAGCUUUAAUGGGCUUACAGUCACGUGUCCCUCAAAGGCCAGCCCCCCUGGACGGCUGUUUGCAAACUCCUCUCCAAAGCUGCUUCCCUUGAAGAGAGUUGCUACACAAUCAUUACAAAUUGAUUGCAAAAGAGCUAACAAUCAUGAUUAAAUCAUUAAAUUCUUGUCUACGCUUCAGAGAGCGGUGAGAAAAUUAACUUCCCACCAACCUAAUUUUUUCCUGAACAUGAAAUAAUGAUUUUCUGCCCGUCUAAUUACAAAGCCAAC